rnacentral:rRNA from 1 species
UAAACUAGGAUUAGAUACCCUAUUAUUUUAAAUGUGAAUUUAUAAUACUAAAUUAGUAUAAGUUAUGUUCUUGAAAAUUAAAAAAUUUGGCGGUGUUUUAGUCUUUUCAGAGGAACCUGUCCUGUAAUUGAUAAUCCACGAUUAGAUAAACUUUAUUUAUUAGUUUACAUAUCGUCGUAGUUUGAAUAUUUUAAUAGAAAUUGAAUAUUCUAAAUUUUAUAUUAAAAAAUAAAUCAGAUCAAGGUGUAGUUUAUAAUAAAGGAGAGUUGGGUUACAUUAAAUUUAUUUUAGGAUAAUUUUUUUUAAAAAAAUUAGAAUUUGGAUUUGAGAGUAAUUUUUAUAUAUUUAUAUAAAAUGAUUAUAGCUCUAAAAUAUGCACACAUCGCCCGUCGCUCUUAA